GGAGAGGUGACCGAGUGGCCGAAGGUGCGCGAUUGGAAAUCGCGUGUACCCCCAAAGGGUACCGUGGGUUCGACUCCCACCCUCUCCG
rnacentral:tRNA from 3 species